GACGAACGCUGGCGGCGUGCUUAACACAUGCAAGUCGAACGGUGACCUGGGGUGCUUGCACCUUGGUGAUCAGUGGCGAACGGGUGAGUAACACGUGAGGGACCUGCCCCAGACUCUGGAAUAACCCCGGGAAACCGGAGCUAAUACCGGAUAUGACAUCAGGCCGCAUGGUCAUGGUGUGGAAAGUUUUUCGGUCUGGGAUGGCCUCGCGGCCUAUCAGCUUGUUGGUGAGGUAGUGGCUCACCAAGGCGACGACGGGUAGCCGGCCUGAGAGGGCGACCGGCCACACUGGGACUGAGACACGGCCCAGACUCCUACGGGAGGCAGCAGUGGGGAAUAUUGCACAAUGGGCGAAAGCCUGAUGCAGCGACGCCGCGUGAGGGAUGACGGCCUUCGGGUUGUAAACCUCUUUCAGUAGGGAAGAAGCGCAAGUGACGGUACCUACAGAAGAAGCACCGGCUAACUACGUGCCAGCCGCCGCAGUAAGAC
rnacentral:rRNA from 1 species